CCUCCACCUGCAUCUAUUUCCAUUCAGGCAUAUACAAGUUUCAUGAGGUAAUACGGUUAAGCCUUUCAGUAUGUCUUAUUUCUCCCUCUCUCCCUCUUUGUCCAGUGGCUAUUCAGUGCAAUUUCCCACCCUGUCUACGGUCUCUACCUCCUCCUCCACCUGCAUCUAUUUCCAUUCAGGCAUAUACAAGUUUCAUGAGGUAAUACGGUUAAGCCUAUCAGUAAGUCCUAUUUCUCCCUCUCUCCCUCUUUGUCCAGUGGCUUUUUAGGGCAGUCCUCCACCCUGUCUACGGCCUCUAACUUCUCCUCCACCCGCACCUUUUUCCAUUCAAGCAUAUAUGUGUUGCAUGAGGUAAUACUGGUAUGCCUAACAUCGUCGUCGUUCUCCCUCUCUCCCUCCUUGUCCAGUGGCUUUUUAGGGCAGUCCUCCACCCUAUCUACUGCCUCUAACUCCUCCUCCUCCUCCUCCUAUACCUAUCUCCAUCCUAGCAUAUGGUAUGAGUUGCAUGAGAUAAAACUGUUGUCUAUCGGUAUGUCUUCUUUCUCCUUCCUUUCCCUCUUCGUCCAAUGCCUUUUUAUGACAACCUCCACCCCUUUUCGGCCUCUUCCUCUCUCCAUCCAAGCAUAUACGAGUUGCAAGAGGAGAUUUACAGACUGGCAUGAAAAUAUACACCUUAUGUUCCAGAUUUGGUGAACUGUCCCUUAAACAUUAGUGAAGUGACACCAAACGGCCUGCCACCAAGACCAGGACCAAGACGCUGCAUUGCUCUCCUUACACCGAAGAAACAAAAGCAACAGUACAUAAGUUUUGGAGAAUAAGAGAAAAAAGAACGAAAGAAAAAGAAAAAUAAUAUAACCAGACAGUAAAGACACAUCAGGCAGUGCCGUUACAAAGGCAAAACUCCCGACCAACUACUACUACUACUACUACUACUACUUGUAAGCGAUUAUUAAGGUGGAAGAAGGAAGGAAGUCGAGGUUGCGUUUACAUGAGGUGGAGAGAGGAGACUGAUAUAUAUUCUGACCCUUUGAUCUGGGUUAGUUGAUUUGAUCCUUUUAACAUCGGUGAAAUGAUAGCAAACGGCCGCCAAGCCCAGGACUGAGACGCUUUAUGGCUCUCCCUUACGAAUAUUUUAGGGUGAAGGAAGGAGUGAGGUGGAAGUUGCGUUUGAUUUUAAUUUUAAUGCGAGUCCGUUUUAUGUGAGGCCAUUGAUCUCUCACGUAAAGGUACACUUCUAUAAUCUGAUAUCUUUUCAUGUUACGCCUCGUCAUGUUGUAUACGCUUAGUUUUGCUUCAGAUAACGUAAAUGUAUGCGUGUUCUUGUUUAUUAUUAUUGUUCCUAUAAACUUAUAUUUUUGUACUAGAUCGAGUCAUGCGUGUAAUGUCCCGUACUCUAUCCCAUUACAAUUAUUAUCCACGAAUUCCUUAAACUUUUGCAUAGUGUGUGUGUGUGUGUGUGUGUGUGUGUGUGUGUGUGUGUGAAGGAGGCAGCUCAAGGGUAUAAAACAAAUAAGUAAAAAUACCCCUCUAAUCACAGCUAAUAUAAAGAAAGUAGAAAUGAAUGGCAAAAGAUAGGUCAUGUGUGUGUGUGCGUGUGUGUGUGUGUGUGUGUGUGUGUGUGUGUGUGUAAGUUGAAAUCACAGCCCGCCUGGUCCCAUUACCCAACGAAGCCUUAACAAGCCCUAAUAUAGAGUGAGUAUAUGAGCCAACAGGAAUGAGUAACACGAUAAGAUAAUGACUAGUUCGCUAAAACCUUGCUUGCGCGAUACACACUAGACGAGAUGAAUGUACACUAGACGAGCUGCCUCUUCAGAUAAAAAGCGAUCCACACACACACACACACACACACACACACACACACUUGGAACGAACUAAAUUGCCACUCUUUACAUCCUUUUUUUUCUCUCUUGUGUCCCGCCAGUUAAUAAUCAAAGAAAUAUAUGCAUAAAAAAAAAAGUAUGAAGAAGCUCAGAACACACUAUUAAAGUCUCCUAACUCUAGAAUGCAGAAGAUUAAGGAAAGUGAUUUUUUUUUUUUUACAAUAAAGGAGACAGCUCAAGGGGACAAAAAAAGGAAACAAUAAUAAAAAAAGCCCGCUACUCGCUGCUGCUUAAACACGUCCAGGGAGAGAUAAUUUACACUCCAGCUUAUAAUCAAAGGAAAAACUGCAUAGGGGGCACACUAAGGCUAUAAAAAGGGAAGACACGAAGAGAGGCCAAUUCAGUUCUCGCCAUUAUAUAAAAGCGGCGGACAGCACGAUUAAUUAUAUUCUUAUCCCAUUUCUCUAUCUAUUAUCUUUCCUCUUUUUCCCUCUCUUUUCUUAUUCUAUCCUUCUUAUCCUUCCUAUAAAUAUCCUACACAUCCUACCAGCGUCCUUCCUCCCAGAUGCCGGCGUGACCCCCGUGUUCCUAGGCCAGCACUGUGAGUUUAAAGGAAGUCUGAAAAAAACGGGAGGCAACAGACUAAUUCAGUUCUCGCCUUCAUAUAUAAGCAGCAGAAUGCACAAUUAAUUAAACUAGAUCUUGUACUACAUGUGGACAAAAAUUGUAGUCCAGUGGUUUGAUGACGGGAACUGACUUUAGCUAUAUAACUCCUGCAUAAAUGUCAUAAAUA